AAAUGGUCUAGAUGCUGCAAAAGUUGCCGCAAUGAAAGCUGCUGAAUUAGUUAAUAAGAACCUUGUUGGGGGUGGUUACAUGUCCACUGAUCAAAAGAAGAAGCUAUUGUGGGGAAACAAAAAGAGUACAACCACAGAAGAGUCUGUUCAUCGCUGGGACACUGCAUUGUUUGGUGAUCGUGAUCGACAA